UUAGUGAAGAAAAACCUUCACUC
rnacentral:piRNA from 1 species